CUCCAGGUUCUCAAUGUUGCUGUUGAAGUUGCAAAGGACACUUGGCUCCUGCAAUCCAUCAGUGGUCCAGCAUCUGUUUGUUGGGGAGUCCCAGAUGAUACAACAUAGGUCCAGCAUCAGUAUAAUGAGGGGGACCCAGAUGAUAUGAUACAGAAGCUCCUCACCACCCUUCCUGGUCAUGAGGAC